GGGUUGUGCAGGCGCUCGAAGCCGCAGCCUUGGCCCGCUGCGGGGGCGGGCCGAGAAGGGCACUGGGCGCCCAGAGUAACCAACACCAAGACAAAUAGCGAGGGCUCGGGGAGAAAAAACGGAGGAUGGCAAACAGCAAAGCCAAAGGCACGAGAUAGCACAGCGCGCACCCAGAGGCUCCUCCGAUGGACGCCACCCCGCGCUCACCGGUCCUCUGGUGGUUCCUUUAAGCCGCCGGGAGGGCGCAAGGUGGCUGAGCGAGGCUUCUUGUUCGGUGCUUCCCAAACCUGAGAUGGUUUGGGAAAGGAAACAGGGGGUCUCAGACCGCGUGGAUGCAGCGCUCUCGCCACGCGUUUUGAGUGCAGGUCUGUCGAGACGCCCCAGCCCUCGCCACCCCACCAAGCUCUCAGGUAGAGAGGCCCCGGGACAGGAAACCUGUUUAUGCACUCUCCUGCAAUCCCACCACCUGCCCAGGCCAAGUAAGUGAGCCCCUCUCCGCUACUGGUGUUUCAUCAUUCUGGGAGCUACUUCGAUUUCAUGCAUUGCCCUUCAGCUGCCAUGUUAUGAGGACGCUUGGACAGCCUAUGGAGAAAGCUACAAGAGAGGAACUGAGGUCUCCUGCCAUCAGCCACUUGAGUGAGCAUGGGAGUGGAUUCUCCAAACUCCAGUUAAGACUUGAGAUGACCACAGUGGCAGCCACAGCUUGACUGCAACUUACGAGAGACACUGAGCCAGAGGCACUCAGCUAAGUCGUGCACAGAUUCCUGACCCGUAGAACCUGUGACACAAUGAAGGUUUGUUGUUUUGGGGGUAAUCCGUUAUUCAGCAAUAGAUAAUGAAUACGGAAGGCCUUGUAAUUGUAUAACCAACGUGAGUUUAUAAGCGGAAAUCUGACCUCAUUUGUUUUCUCCUGAAAAAGUUGUAGAACAAUCACAAGACUGCAAGUCACUCCCUUUCUUUCUCUCUUUUGUGGGAAAUAAACAAGUAUAAUUACAAUUUUUAAACCCAUUGUUUUAUUCUCAAAUAAAAUUACAAUUUAAACAGGAUAUUGUAGAGCUCCAUUGUAGGGAUUAACACUAAUGAGAAUUAAAGGACAUUUUCGUGAAAGCCAGCUUUUUUUUUUUUUUAAAUAAACACUCAUCCCUUGAUAAUGUAUUUCUUUUUCAUAAAAUUAAAAACAAUUGUGGGUAUGUAGUAGGUGUAUAUAUUUAUGUGGUACAUGAGAUGUUUUGAUCCAGGCAUGAUGUGUAAUAAUCACAUCAUGGAGAAUGGGGUAUCCAUCCCCUCAAGCAUUUAUCCUUUGUGUUAAAAACAAUCCAGUUACACUCUUUUUGUUAAUUAAAAAUGUACAAUUAAAUUAUUAUUGGCUAUAGUCACCCUGUUGUGCUAUCAAAUAUUAGGUCUUAUUCAUUCUUUUAACUAUUUUUUUGUACCUAUUUAUCAUCCCCAGUUCCCUCCCACCACCCACCCCACUACCCUUCUCAGUCUCUGGUAACCAUCCUUCUACUGUCUAGCUCCAUGAGUUCAAUUGUUUUGACUUUUAGCUCCCACAAAUAAAUGAGAACAUGUGAUGUUUGC